AACGAACGCUGGCGGCAUGCCUAACACAUGCAAGUCGAACGAGACCUUCGGGUCUAGUGGCGCACGGGUGCGUAACGCGUGGGAACCUGCACUUAGGUUCGGAAUAACUCCCCGACAGGGGUGCUAAUACCGGAUAAUGUCUUCGGCCCAAGGAUUUAUCGCCUUUGGAUGUGCCGGCGUUGGAUUAGCUUGUUGGUAGGGUAAAAGCCUACCACGGCGACGAUCCAUAGCUGGUCUGAGAGGAUGAUCAGCGACACUGAGACUGAGACACGGCCGAGAAUCCUACGGGAAGCAGCAGUGGGGAAUAGUGGAAAGUGGGCGAAAGCCUGAACCAGCAAGGCCGGGAGAGUGAUGAAGGCCUUAGGGUUGUAAAGCGCUUUUACCCGGGAUGAUAAUGACAGUACCGGGAGAAUAAGCUCCGGCUAACUCCGUG
rnacentral:rRNA from 1 species